GAUGAACGCUGGCGGCGUGCCUAGUACAUGCAAGUCGAGCGAACAGACGAGGAGCUUGCUCCUCUGACGUUAGCGGCGGACGGGUGAGUAACACGUGGAUAACCUACCUAUAAGACUGGGAUAACUUCGGGAAACCGGAGCUAAUACCGGAUAAUAUAUUGAACCGCAUGGUUCAAUAGUGAAAGACGGUUUUGCUGUCACUUAUAGAUGGAUCCGCGCCGCAUUAGCUAGUUGGUAAGGUAACGGCUUACCAAGGCGACGAUGCGUAGCCGACCUGAGAGGGUGAUCGGCCACACUGGAACUGAGACACGGUCCAGACUCCUACGGGAGGCAGCAGUAGGGAAUCUUCCGCAAAGGGCGAAAGCCUGACGGAGCAACGCCGCGUGAGUGAUGAAGGUCUUCGGAUCGUAAAACUCUGUUAUUAGGGAAGAACAAAUGUGUAAGUAACUAUGCACGUCUUGACGGUACCUAAUCAGAAAGCCACGGCUAACUACGUG
rnacentral:rRNA from 1 species